rnacentral:rRNA from 1 species
GACGAACGCUGGCGGCGUGCUUAACACAUGCAAGUCGAGCGGAGCGGCGCACGGGUGAUUAACGCGUGAGUCACUUCCCCCCUCUCUGGGAUAACAGUUGGAAACUGAUGCUACUACCGGAUAGUGGUGGAUGACUCGCGUCCUAUCAGCUUGUGGGUGGGGUAGGGGCCUACCAAGGCGACGACGGGUAGCCGGCCUGAGAGGGCGACCGGCCACAUUGGGCUGAGAUACGGCCCAAACUCCUACGGGAGGCAGCAGUGGGGAAUAUUGCACAAUGGGGGAAACCCUGAUGCAGCAACGCGCGUGCGGGAUGACGGCCUUCGGGUUGUAAACCGCUUUCAGCCAUGACGCGGUAGUGGCAGAAGAAGCACCGGCUAACUACGUGCCAGCAGCCGCGGUAAUUC